AUGGCCUGAGUUUCAAUGACGCACUGCAGAGUUUUGUAAAGGGCUGUGUUAUCAAAAGGGUUAAUUGCUUAAACAGAGCAAACUUCUUUAGCAGGCAUUGGUAGACAACAGAUAGUCCUAAAACCAACUGUAUCUUCUUCUUGUACUUGACCACAAUGGUGGUAGCUUCCCAUGAUCUGAACUUAAAAUAGACCACUGCAGCGCAUGAAGAUCCAGCAAGAACUGAAGGUGCUCGUCCUCUAAAAUUGGAAUAAUGCGGCUUGUUGAAUCAUAGAAGGCAGAAUUUUCCGAGCCCACUGGCAGCGAGCGUGAUAGGUGGUG